rnacentral:lncRNA from 1 species
UAGAACAGAGAGGAGUCCUCAUGCUCCUGUCCUUGACCGCACGCUCAGAGGCAAGGUCACUGCACCAGAAGGAAGCUCUCCCUAGAACCAGGGCUCCUUUGGUCUCCACUCUCACUCACCUACCAGGACCCCAGAGGUACGAAGUGGUGGGGGGGGAGAGACAGAGAGAAAGAAAGACAGAGAAAGAGAGACAGACAGACAGACAGAGAUGAGAGAUGGGACAGAGAGCGAGAGACAGCAAGCGGCAGAGAGACAGAGCGAGAGGUGGAGUGGGGGAUCGGGGUCUCAUUGGGGCGAGCCCUGGAAGAUGACUCCUGGAGUCUGCGCUGUCAGAGCCCUGAGGCUCUGACCAAGGCUGGUCCUGGCAGGACAGCACACCCUUCUCGCACGUCCUUGUCCUCACAAUGGCCAAGCUGUCCAUCCAGGCCCUGGCAUGGGCGGUGUGACGCCACCUGAUUCCAGGUUAGGGCUCAUGGCUGUAGAAUUAGUGAGGGACUUGUGGUCCUGGCAACCUGUCCCGUGUGGAGCAGUGACGGCGGGGAGCGGGUGAAAGGUUUGCUCGGAGCUGCAGGUCCUGUGACCCCAGGCCGAGACCCCAGCCCAUGGUGUAGGGCCUGCAGUUCAGGCCGCUGCCUCCACCCACCUCCACCCACCUCCAGCGGUACGACAGGGUCACCAGAGUAUGCUCCCCACCCCCACUCCCACCCCCCAGGGCUGUCUUCCUUCUUCUGUGAUGCCUGCAGGAACUUUGCUUAGGAACAUCAGCCGGACGAAAGGAGCAGCUGGAGACUUCCGACUGCCGCUCCAGAGAGGCACUCCCGGCUCCCGUGGUCUCCAGAUGCGAAAGUUAGGAAAGGAGACAGCAGGGCUGAGACUUCCACUGGGGACACAGCUGGAGCUGUGGCUGCGUGGCCCCUGCUGAGGAAACAGAAAACAUUAAAGACUCGUCAGCUGGGCAGUACCAGGAACAAUUGAAGGCCAGAGGAGGACCUUUGUCCUCACGGUGUGCAGAACAGAACAGCAAGGAGCUUGGGGCAGUGACGCAGGUCAGUGGGGUCUGCGACUGGAGGGCAGGAAACUGGGGCACAGAGUGUGAAGGAGGCAGAAGCGCCUCGGGGCCUGCGGAGGG